rnacentral:rRNA from 1 species
GACGAACGCUGGCGGCGUGCUUAACACAUGCAAGUCGAACGGAAAGGCCCUGCUUUUGUGGGGUGCUCGAGUGGCGAACGGGUGAGUAACACGUGAGUAACCUGCCCUUGACUUUGGGAUAACUUCAGGAAACUGGGGCUAAUACCGGAUAGGAGCUCCUGCUGCAUGGUGGGGGUUGGAAAGUUUCGGCGGUUGGGGAUGGACUCGCGGCUUAUCAGCUUGUUGGUGGGGUAGUGGCUUACCAAGGCUUUGACGGGUAGCCGGCCUGAGAGGGUGACCGGCCACAUUGGGACUGAGAUACGGCCCAGACUCCUACGGGCGGCAGCAGUGGGGAAUAUUGCACAAUGGGCGGAAGCCUGAUGCAGCAACGCCGCGUGCGGGAUGACGGCCUUCGGGCUGUAAACCGCUUUCGCCUGUGACGAAGCGUGAGUGACGGUAAUGGGUAAAGAAGCACCGGCUAACUACGUG